rnacentral:rRNA from 1 species
AUGAGCAGGAGCUCGUUGCUUGGAGUCUGCGACAGAAGAGCACCAAACAUUAGUUGGGACGAAUUCUACAACUUGCAACAGACAAGGUUCGCCAGAAAUCAACACGAGCAACUAAUCAGAGGACUAUUACAUAUUGCCCAGACCACCACUGUAGAGGAUUAUGUAGAGAGGUUUGUUGAAUUAUAUGAUCAUUUGAUUGCAUGUGAGAUUGUUCCUGACCCACCACACCAUGUUACUCGAUUCCUAGAUGGACUGAAACCGGCUGUGAAGGUUCAAGUGGCAAUUCAAAAACCCCGAGAUCCGGAUACUGGUUAUGAAUUAGCCUUGUUGUUAGAGGAGAUUUGA